GACGGAGGGUGCAAGCGUUGUUCGGAAUUACUGGGCGUAAAGGGCUCGUAGGCGGCCAACUAAGUCAGACGUGAAAUCCCUCGGCUUAACCGGGGAACUGCGUCUGAUACUGGAUGGCUUGAAUCCGGGAGAGGGAUGCGAAAUUCCAGGUGUAGCGGUGAAAUGCGUAGAUAUCUGGAGGAACACCGGUGGCGAAGGCGGCAUCCUGGACCGGCAUUGACGCUGAGGAGCGAAAGCCAGGGGAGCAAACGGG
rnacentral:rRNA from 1 species